rnacentral:lncRNA from 10 species
AGACACAGUGGGUGUCCGAGGGGGGGCUCUGCGUCCGGAGGCGAGACGUCCGAGGUCAGAGGGGAGGAGACGGACCCGACCUUCCUUGGCUGUGCUCUCCAGCCCUGUCCUGUGCUGGACCCAACCUAACCUCUGCAGCCUCCCUGCCCUGGACACAAAUCUGGCUGAGACCCCAGACCCUGAUGGGGCAGAGCCUGGCACUGGAGGAGCCACCAGGAUGGGCCCCUGUGGGUGUGGGCAGAGGGUGAUCCUCAGUUCAGGUUUUUGCCAGAAGAUGGGUUCCUGCAGGAGGGGGUCUCAGCAGCUCAGACUUCAGAUGCGCUCACUGCUGCUCACUGUGGGACAGCCAGACACGGAGCCCUCUGUUCUCCAGCAGUUGUGGACAAUGAGGGAUCCCUGGAGGGAUGCCUGGUGGGCAGCAGGAGUCCCUCUUGUGGGUCAGGGUGCGGGGAUGGGCUCUCCCUGCAGGGACUUCCCAGUCUUGUCCUCUGGGAUUGGCAGUUUGCAGGGGUAUCCUCGGCAUCAGACCAGGGGGGCCACACAGGGA